CCAGACUCCUACGGGAGGCAGCAGUGGGGAAUAUUGGACAAUGGACCAAGAGUCUGAUCCAGCAAUUCUGUGUGCACGAUGAAGUUUUUCGGAAUGUAAAGUGCUUUCAGUUGGGAAGAAAGAAAUGGCGGUACCAACAGAAGAAGUGACGGCUAAAUACGUGCCAGCAGCCGCGGUAAUACGUAUGUCACGAGCGUUAUCCGGAUUUAUUGGGCGUAAAGCGCGUCUAGGUGGUUAUGUAAGUCUGAUGUGAAAAUGCAGGGCUCAACUCUGUAUUGCGUUGGAAACUGUAUAACUAGAGUACUGGAGAGGUAAGCGGAACUACAAGUGUAGAGGUGAAAUUCGUAGAUAUUUGUAGGAAUGCCGAUGGGGAAGCCAGCUUACUGGACAGAUACUGACGCUGAAGCGCGAAAGCGUGGGUAGCAAACAGGAUUAGAUACCCUGGUAGUCCACGCCGUAAACGAUGAUUACUAGGUGUUGGGGGUCGAACCUCAGCGCCCAAGCAAACGCGAUAAGUAAUCCGCCUGGGGAGUACGUACGCAAGUAUGAAACUCAAAGGAAUUGACGGGGGCCCGCCAAG
rnacentral:rRNA from 1 species